GUCCUCAGUCGGGAUCCGAGGGCGAACAAAGACCCUCCCCACGCCCCGCUGCCGGACCGGAGGAGGGGACCCUGGACCUCGCCGGCCCAUCAGCAGCUGGAUGCAUCUCCCAGCCCACCCAUGGGAUUCCAGACAUGUCUACGUGACCAUCACAACCCUACCAGCGUCGAAGGAGUAACCAAGGUGACCCUUCUGUGCACCCUUGGGAUAACAGAGACCAGCCCCAUGCUAUGAAAUCCAUUGGUGUGGAAACCUCCUGACUCUCAGAGAGUAGAGCAAGGUCCUGGGACAGAGGAGAGAGGAGGGGAUUUCCGAAUCUUCCUGAACAUUCGUGACCGCCCUGGGGAAGCAGCCUUGCAGAUAAGUAUUCCAACUUACCUGCCCGCAGCCUAUCUGCCUGCCCUCUUUCGGUCUGUGCAGGAAAGUGUAGAACCUCAGAAUCCCACGUGGGGGUGGAGGUGGAGGUGGGGGAGUGGGGAUCAGCUUUUCUACCCCUCUGUGUCACAAACAAAGACCUUGUCCCUGUUUCAUGGGGCCCCAGAGAGGGUCAUCUUCCCACCCCUGCUUUUGGCAUGGAGGCUAGAAUUUUGUAAGCUCCCACCAUCGGGAACUUCUGUGGACGUGAGUCAAGUGACCUCACCUCAAGAACCCGUAGAUGUGGUGUCAGAAGGAGGCAGGAGGGGACUGGCGACUCCUGGCAGCGCUUCUCAGUUCUGGCCCUCUGUCGUCAUAUUCGUGAAACUUGGCCAGGGCUCCUCUUUACCUGGCGGUUGAGUGGGGACACUGGCACUGUGACUCUAGGGCCACAUUCUUUCCUCCAGGUCCGGACCCGUGCCUUGAGGCUCAGGUGCCCAUUGCAAACUCUGAACACCCACCGAGGGGCCCCCUGACUCUCCUGGCACAGGUCUGCCGGUUGAUGAAGAUAGCUUAGCUGUCACCACAGGCAAAAUCGAGAGAUGAUUCUGGGUCGGGAUUAGCAGGUGUGUAAUGGGGGCAGAAGAGUAUCUGAGGCUGAGCCGAAGGGCCCCCCUAUUUCCUCCUCUCCGCUGCCUCGAACUGUGGGUUAGUACUGUGCACUCUGGGUGAAUGCAGGGUGGGAAGGAUCCCAGGGCGCAGAGAGAGAAAGAGAGAGAGGGACAGACUUCCCAGGGCCACACAGGAUGAUGGCUGAGCUGGAUCAGAACUCUGAAUUCCUGACUCCGUUCACUGCUUCCACUCAGCUAUUGCCAAGCUGAAUUUGUUUUACUUUGUCCUGGGCCCCCUUCUGCUGUUAUUGGGGAACAGAGAGGUUGGUGAGGGCACCCCCCUCAACCCAAGGACAUUCGGGGGUGGGAGGAAGGGAGGUGGUGGGCAGUGUGCCUGGGCCCAGCCUCUCUGGCUCCAGGGGGGCCUUCUUCUUGUUAUCAGAGACUUCUGGCCAUGCCCCUCACCUGGGGAGGGGGCCUGGGUGCAGUUUUCUCCUGCGGCGUGGUUGGCUCUUUUGUCUUCUAGGAUGGGAUCUACCUGGGAAAGUGGCUGGGAGCUGGGCCGGGGCUGCCCACCUGUUGGCUAGGAGCUGCCAGGUAAGCCUGGGGAAGCGUGGGGAAGGAAGUUGCACU
rnacentral:lncRNA from 12 species